rnacentral:rRNA from 1 species
CCUACGGGAGGCAGCAGUGAGGAAUAUUGGUCAAUGGACGAGAGUCUGAACCAGCCAAGUAGCGUGAAGGAUGACUACCCUAUGGGUUGUAAACUUCUUUUAUAAAGGAAUAAAACGAGGCACGUGUGCCUUUUUGCAUGUACUUUAUGAAUAAGGAUCGGCUAACUCCGUGCCAGCAGCCGCGGUAAUACGGAGGAUCCGAGCGUUAUCCGGAUUUAUUGGGUUUAAAGGGAGCGUAGAUGGGUUGUUACGUCAGUUGUGAAAGUUUGCGGCUCAACCGUAAAAUUGCAAUUGAUACUGGCAGUCGUGAGUACAGUUGAGGUAGGCGGAAUUCGUGGUGUAGCGGUGAAAUGCUUAGAUAUCACGAAGAACCCCGAUUGCGAAGGCAGCUUACUAAACUGUGACUGACAUUGAUGCUCGAAAGUGUGGGUAUCAAACAGGAUUAGAUACCCGAGUAGUC